rnacentral:rRNA from 1 species
UACAUGGGGUGCAAACGUUGCUCGGAAUUAUUGGGCGUAAAGCGCACGUAGGCGGUUCGUUAAGUCGGACGUGAAAGCCCUCGGCUCAACCGAGGAAGUGCAUCCGAAACUGGCGAGCUAGAGUACGAAAGAGGGUCGCGGAAUUCUCGGUGUAGCGGUGAAAUGCGUAGAUAUCGAGAGGAACACCUGCGGCGAAGGCGGGUUGCUGGGCUGACACUGACGCUGAGGCGCGAAAGCUAGGGGAGCGAACGGG